GACUUGCUAUCAGAGUGGGACUGAGCCAUGCGAGUCAACGCUGCAAGGCGUGGCAUACGGCUCAGUAACACGUAGUCAACAUGCCCAAAGGACGUGGAUAACCUCGGGAAACUGAGGAUAAACCGCGAUAGGCCAAGGUUUCUGGAAUGAGCCAUGGCCGAAAUCUAUAUGGCCUUUGGAUUGGACUGCGGCCGAUCAGGCUGUUGGUGAGGUAAUGGCCCACCAAACCUGUAACCGGUACGGGCUUUGAGAGAAGGAGCCCGGAGAUGGGCACUGAGACAAGGGCCCAGGCCCUAUGGGGCGCAGCAGGCGCGAAACCUCUGCAAUAGGCGAAAGCUUGACAGGGUUACUCUGAGUGAUGCCCGCUAAAGGGUGUCUUUUGGCACCUCUAAA
rnacentral:rRNA from 1 species